UUGGCUGUCAGGCCUCGGCUGGGUCCUAACGCCAAGAACGCUUCAUAGAGCCGUAGCGCCCUCUAGCCGCUGCCCAGCGUUAGAGACUCCAACCCUGGGUGAAUGUGUAAGGCUUGGGUUCUACUCCCCAAUACCCAUAAGGAGCUUCCCAGGAGGAAAGUGGUUGCUUCCAGAGCCACAGCCUAAGAGUCCCCAAAGAGCGGCACUGCUCUCUGUCCUCAUGCAGGGGCAGCCGGUCAGUACUGUCGGGGCAGCCACCACUCACCCUCAGCAGCUCCUCUUCUCCCUGCUCCUUCACAAACACCUCUUCCAGCUCCUGGUUGAGCCCUUCUAGGCUUCUGUGCAGACAAGGGCUGAGUCGCAGGACGGGGAGUCCUGGGGAGAGGCUGGGAAGGGAUGCCUAAGGAGAGGCAAAUGAAGCCAUCAGAUGAUGUCCCUCCACACUCAGCCCCAGACAGUUAUCAGCUCUGACUGGAGGGAAUGAUCAUGUCCACAAAACUUUUCU
rnacentral:lncRNA from 1 species